rnacentral:misc_RNA from 1 species
GUAUUGAUUGCGUAUCGCAAAGUGGGGUCAUUCUACACUUUUUAAAAGGGGUUUGUGUGAAAACGCAAGCCCCCCCUCUGAACGAGCCAAAAGGGGGACCCACGCGGUGGUGCACAGGGUGAGAUGGAUUGUUUGAAAAUGCUCGGGCGUGCACGACCAAAAGUCAGCGACAGCCCUUGCACCUCAGUUUUACAAUAAUGAUCCUUCCGCAGGUUCACCUACGGAAA